UUGCUUGACGACCAUAGAGCGUUGGACCCACCUGAUUCCAUACCGAACUCAGCCGUGAAACGACGCAUCGCCGAUGGUAGUGUGGGGCUUCCCCAUGUGAGAGUAGGUCAUCGUCAGGCUC
rnacentral:rRNA from 1 species